CUUCUAACAAAUUAGAAAAUAGGAAAAAAAUUGCUGCCUCAAAAAAGUACAAUUGUAUUGGGAAACGCAUAACGUUCUUCAUAUAUACGUUGUGUAUCCAAUUAUACCGCACAAGAAAUUGACAGAUCGCAAUGGAUACGUAUUUGCCACAAUGCUGCUCUUGUAACAAUCUAAAUUAAAAUAUUAUAUUUAGAGUUAAUACGAUUUAUAAAAUAUACUGGAAACAUUGAUUGAAUAUAAUGAGUCAUAUGAUACAUAUUACAAUAUCUGAUGACCACAUAUUUUAACUUUUUGCAAUAAACAUAAUCAAUAAUUGGAAAAUAGGCUAUCGACAAUCAGCGCCGGUAAAAGUACGCAAUCCCGUCAUCAGUCACCGAAAACGGGAAGCAAUCGAGUGACCAACGGUUUGCCACAUAUGUAAUGGCAUCUUUACCCGUGGCUGUGCCGCAGGCAAUGACACUUAUUUGUAUACCUACCGUAUGUUUUGUUUUAAAUAGCGAAUAAUUAUCUUAAUUAUUUUUAUGAUUCACCCAUUGUGAUUGCGCUCUUUUACUCGCGUUCACUCUUAUUAGCCUAUUUAAAAAAUAUUAAUUGUGUUUAAAUUUUGAGAGUCCGGAACUAAUUAAUUGUUUUUACAAUUAACGAAAUAGCUCAUUAUUUAUGAAAUAUUUAACAAAACAAAAUUUAUUAACUUUAAAUA